rnacentral:lncRNA from 1 species
AGGCUAUAAAUGCUCGCAACCUCCAUUUAUCAAGCCACUUUUCAUUAGCCCCUUUUAAUUCUUGUCAUGCCACUCACCCUCUUUUUGAGCAGCUCUGGCCGUCAGUGAAGCGCAGAUUAUUUGCGACUGACGCCAAUCGUGCCUUUCAUUUAUUAGACCAACCGAGCAUUUCUUUCCCUCCUCCUGUUUUAGUCACUCCCUUGUCCAUUCGGAGUCCUUCUCCUUCUCGUCGCACUAAACAGUCUGCUCGUCCAUCUUCUUCUCUCCCUGCCAAGCCUACUACGGCCAAGAGUGCCCCAAGCCGCAAAC